AACGAACGCUGGCGGCAUGCCUAACACAUGCAAGUCGAACGAGACCUUCGGGUCUAGUGGCGCACGGGUUCGUAACGCGUGGGAACCUUCCCUUAGGUUCGGAAUAACUCCCCGAAAGGGGUGCUAAUACCGGAUAAUGUCUUCGGACCAAAGAUUUAUCGCCUUUGGAUGGGCCCGAGUUGGAUUAGCUGGUUGGUAUGGUAAAAGCCUACCAAGGCGACGAUCCAUAGCUGGUCUGAGAGGCUGAUCAGCGACACUGGGACUGAGACACGGCCCAGACUCCUACGGGAGGCAGCAGUGGGGAAUAUUGGACAAUGGGCGAAAGCCUGAUGCAGCAAUGCCGCGUGAGUGAUGAAGGCCUUAGGGUUGUAAAGCUCUUUUACCCGGGAUGAUAAUGACAGUACCGGGAGAAUAAGCCCCGGCUAACUCCGUG
rnacentral:rRNA from 1 species